UAACGCGUGGAUAACCUGCCGUAUGCAGGGGGAUACCAACUGGAAACAGUUGCUAAUACCGCAUAAGCGCACAGCACCGCAUGGUGCAGUGUGAAAAGAUUUAUCGGCAUACGAUGGAUCCGCGUCCGAUUAGCCAGUUGGCGGGGUAGAAGCCCACCAAAGCGACGAUCGGUAGCCGGCCUGAGAGGGCGGACGGCCACAUUGGGACUGAGACACGGCCCAAACUCCUACGGAAGGCAGCAG
rnacentral:rRNA from 1 species